GCACUGAGGAGUUGAAUCAUCAAGAUAAAAUUGUGAGCUGUUGGACACAUAAAGAUGAUGCCCACCUCAGAAGCUCAAAUGCAUGUCAUCAUCCUCUUCCUGCUAAUCGGUGCGCCCCUCUACAUAUCCACGUUAAGCGUGUCGGAUUCCUCCAGAUCCAAGAAAGUGCAGAUCAGACCCACAAGCACCCCCACCAUCAGUCCCAGGCCCAGCACGCGGGGACCCUUAUUACUUCAGUCCAGAGGCAGAGGAAAUAAUAGAGGAAAUGGACGUGGAAAAGGGACAACCGCGUGGCCAGAGACACCGCCCAGACCCCAGGCUCAGGUCAUGCUGUCUAAAAAUGCCACAGCCCAUGCUCUAAAACCUCCACUUGGUGCGGCACAGGUGGCCCCGCCCCCUCGCAGACUGGUGGAAGUGGACGUGUGCCGAGGAUAUUAUGAUGUCAUGGGCCAGUACGACCUCACCUUUAACUGCUCCAAGGACAACUUCAUCUACUGUUGCGGCACGUGCCACUACCGCUUCUGCUGCCCAGAUCGCUCGCGCCGACUUGACCAAAACAUUUGCCAAAACUACCACUCGCCAGUAUGGGCUAAUACAGCGCCACCUGGCACUAAGCCUACCCACCAGUUUACUGACCCUGACCUCAGUCGUAUUGAACAGAGCAACAACACCGUAUAUGUCAUUGGUGGAGUCAUUUCAUUCACCGUUGCUGUGGCUGUGGCCAUCAAGGUGGCCUUUAACAAGGCCUCACGACAGGCACGUAACCGGGAGCUCAACAUGCCCAGGGCUCUGGUGGACAUGCUGCGCCACCAGUCCAACCCAGUUCAGCAAGGAGAAAGAAACAACAGUGUGGCACUAGGAACUGGAGGAGGAGAGGGCACUCUCGGGCGACCUUCGAAAAACCUGUACCCUACCCUGCAGAGCAAAGACAACCGUUUAGGUAAUUUGCAGCAUAACUUCAUAAAUACCUCAGGUUCCAGCCCCAAACAUACUGCUACCAUUGAGCGAGCGUCACGUAUGAACAACAUGCAGAUGACCUCUGGUGGGACACUAAAACCAAAUAAACACACUAAUGCCAUGAAGCCUCAACCAUCAUUCCACCAGUCGCUUCAUAACCUGGCACAGCUACCACCCUCAUAUGAGGCCGCCAUGAAGCCUGAGCUUAACAGAUAUUCGUCCCUCAAACGGCUGGAAAAGGGAGGUCUGGAAGAAUAUUCCGGGUACUGCACCACUAAACGGAGACCCAACAAUCCCCCGCCAUCCUUCCACUCCUCUCAACACCACUUGCCCUGGGGUGGUGACUACACGCUGGGCGGAAGAGGCACACUCCCUACCCAUGCCACCCGACCACGCAUACCCCACCCUCAGUCUGCCCCCAGCCACACCCCCAACCCCUACCCUCUGGAGCCUCCAGAAUCCAAGCAAAACCAGAACUAUGACACCCUCUCCAAACCUCCUCGCCGAGUCAAAUCUACAGACCAGCUUCUGGCCCUGGCAGAUGGCAACACUUUGUCAAGGCUUUCCAAGAACCAACAGCACCAGUACUACAAAGCCAUGAAUGCUGCAGCAGCGAAAAACUCUAAUACCCAGAAUACCCUACGCAAGUCUAAGGAAAGGCUGCUAAUGUCACCUGAUCAUCUGGAGGAGGAAGUGGGCAUGUGUGGGGUCGAGUAUGGAGGUGGAAGCGGUGGUGGUAUGGGCAUGGGUGACUACACAGUGGGUGGAGGCAUGGUGCCCACCCUACCCCGCGUGAGCCACCAGAAGGCUCAGUCCCAGCAGAAUGUCUGUGCCACUCCUUCACUCGAUCGCCAUCAUAUGAUUAAGAUGAACUCGCACCCGACCUCAGGCCGUGAGCAGGAGCGCAAUGCAGCUGCCAUGUCAGGUCACCUGGGAGGAGGCGGAGCUGGAGGGGUGGGAUGGAGCGAAAUGCAGGGAACCGGGGUAGUCAUGGGCACUGGAACGCUAGGAGGGCAUAGCGCCAGAAGAAUGGCAUUUGCCACAAAGAGGCAAAACACCAUCGAGCAACUACACUUCAUCCCCGGAGGAGGUGGUGGCAGCGGAGGCGGUGUUGCCACAAACCAGGGAGUUCGGACGGGGAGCAAGAAUGAAGUGACCGUGUAAAAAGAGGUUGGAGGUGGUGGAGAGUGAGUUCAGGCAAAUGAAGGGUAUGGAGAGUGAGCUUAAAAGUGGUAGGUAAAGAUGGGAUAAUGGGAGAAAGAGUGAGAGAGUGGGCAGAUGAAGGAGUGAAGUAAAAGGUGUGGGAGGAUUAUAUGGGUAAGUGUGAAUGGAAGGAGCCUGCAGACAGAAUGCAGAUGAAUAAAAAGGACAGAAUCAGUUAAAUGAACUCUUCAUUUGAUGGCACAGACGACAUUCACCUUUGACAAACAAAACAGGGUCUUGAAUGACAAACAGAAUUUAAGGACAAUCUUCCUACAGACUCUCUUAUACAUAUAUGUUUGUUAUUGUCAUUUCUAUGGCAGUUAAUAUUAUGGUUAUUGGUGAUAUUUAUUCUUGCUGUUAUGAUUACUGAUUAUCUUCUCAUUAUGAUGGUGAUAUUUUUCUUCUGUGGUUUUAGUGUUAACUUGUUUUUAGAUAUUUAUCUUACUCAUGAAAUUAUUUUACAUUAUGAUUACAAAAUACAAGCACAAAUGCAGGCACUCGUCCUUUACUAUCUAUCAGUGCAUCCACCGAGUGCAUUCAAACAUUCCUUAGUGUGAUGUCAUAGUGUGACCGUCAUAAAGAAGCUUGCCAGUGUCAUUGUGGCAAUGACAUCACAGUAGGGUUGAUAUGAUGUCAUAGUGUUUGUAAAUGAAUAAUAGGUUAAUUUAAUUAAAUUCCAGCUGUUUGAAUGUUUAUUUCAGGGAAUUAGAAUAGCUAAAUUAAUUUAGCAUUUGUCUUAAAAGGUCUGUAGCAAUGUCUCUUUAGUUUUGUACCCACAAGCCAUAACUGUACAUUUUUAUGAAAUAUUUCAAUGAAACUGCAAGGAAUAAGAUACCAUCAGUUGUGUUGGCCUGGCCUAGAAUAUUUAAGGCCGCUGUGAAUCAGUCAAAUAUGUUUGUUUUUUUUCAGUCCCCAAAAAAAGAAUCCCUUUUUCGGACCUUAAUAAAAGUAUUCUACAUGUUGUAUUUAGCUAUAUUCCAGGCAUGUAAUCUUUCUUUUAUUGUGAUAAAUCAGAGUUUCUUUUUUCAGAGUGCAGAAACAAGUGACAUUAAAGCCUGUGCUUUAGAAAAAACUAAAACCUGUUUAAUUAUUUACAGGGGGGUGGCCAUGCUUGGUUGCAUUUUAAUUUAUGUGCAAAAUGGGCCUGACAGAGUAGCUUUAAAUGUUCCUUUUUACAUUUGUAAAGGAAUGUACUAGAAAACCAUGACAUCAGAAUUAAGGUUUGGUAAAAGUCUAAUAAAACUUUUGUUUGUCUUAUUAAGCUCUUUAUUUCUUAAGCCCUUGUUCAAUAACAUAUAUGAGGUGAAAAUACUUGUAAGAGGUUCACUUUGUAAAAUAAAGUCAACUGAUGAAAAUGAUGUUUGCAUUUACUGCCUAAAACACACUUCUUUAAUCUGCAUCGUAAUCGAUUCUUUAAAAAAUCUUAAUAUUAAAGGUUUUACCCACUUA